AGGACAACUGGCCCCGAUCCUUGAACAAGUAAUUUUUACGAAAAAACGUGAGUGCACAAUUAAACACACAGGUGACAUCACAACCAGAUUUGUGGUGCUGAGCUGGUAACUGGUUUCAUCCAACCAGGUACAAAUGUUAUUUUGUGGACAAUUAUGUAAAUAUGACCAAAGCACGAAGUGAAAUGGAAUCUUUGAUCAAAAAAGCAAGUUUCAAAAUAAUCUGUACAACAUUAUCUUAAGUAAAAAAACAUAUAUAUUUGCAUAAAUGUGCAGAGAAAAAUAUCUGAAAGGAGACACCAAAUUGCUGAUGAUGGUAAUUUCUGCAUGAUAAGAAUAUAUAUUUUCUUAUUUUUGCUUGCCUGAUUUUCUGAGUUUAAAAAAUAAUUCACAUGUACAGGUUCUACAAAGGGUAUCAAAAAUCAUCUACGAGGGUUCCCUGCUCCACAGGUUUUCUUAUCAAAAGGUCAACCAAAUCCUUCUGUUGAGACUUAUUUGUUGGGCUCUUUCAUUUGAUCACCCUCCUCUUUGAAGGCUUCUUCAUGGGGCCUCUCUGCUCCCUCUGGUCUGGUCUGUUGUCUGCAGUUCCCAUGAGAGUUGCUGCUCCUGCGCUGGUCUUCCGCAUGCACGGAUCCCUGCCGCCUCACAGGCACUCCCUCUUCUCUCUGGCCUCUGUACCUCUCCUCUCCUUUCUUUCCAAGUUCAGCUGAAAGCAUCCCGAAGCUCUCCCGUCAUGGACCCCCCCCCGUCCUGCACUUGGCCCACAGGAAAUGGAGGGACCUUGCUUUGUUCACACUAUUUGAGGCUCCUCAUUGGCGGCUGGGUGAAUAUCCAAUACCCUUCCGACAAGUUUCCCUCUCCAGGUUCUCUCCGGCUGUCCCUCCACACACCGAUGUCUGGCUGUUUCCCUGGGCACACCCUGCCUCAGCUUAUCCCCUACCUGUCAUCUUCCUGGAGAAUGUGCAUCCUGCAAGCCUCUGCUCAAACUAUAUUCCCUCUCUAUGGCUCUCCUCAGCUUUCCGGGAACAAAUCAUUACUCUUAGCUGUGCUCCCAAAGUCUCUCCCUCUCCUCUCUCUCUCUCUCUUUCUCUCAGCCAUGGUCACAUAAAUGGACAGCCAUUUAUGCCACAUCCACACCCCUCCCUUGACUACAGACUGCUGAAGACCUGGGCUAUGCCGCGGUCACCCCAGUAUUCCUGGUUUCCAGCCCAGGAAAUUAGGAAAUCACCUUUGAAUUAUUAGUUGACACCCUCUGUUGGCUACAUCGUUCAUGAGAGAAGCUUUGCAAGGGGUAAAGUUAAAAACGUGUAUCAAUGGGCUCAGCACAAACACAGGCCGAUGAGUUUCCUGGCACCCUCUUGCUCGGCUCCCUGCUAUGCCCGUGGAUUUCGGAGUGCUGGGAAGUGUGCAAGGGGCGGUGGGAGCUGGAGAGAUAGUGGAGGAGCACUGCAGGCUGGAUAAUGCCCAGGGGUGGUGUUUCUUUAACAACCAGGAUUGAAGUCCUUUUUGUAUUUUAGCAUCUGGCAUGCCCUGGUACUGUUCUAAGAUCUUAUCCCUGGGGAGCACCUGGCAGGAGGGGUGGCGUUCAUGUCCUGGCUGGCUGGGCUACAGAUCACACACAAUACCUGAGUUCAGCUCCCCGGGCUGAAGGAGGAGGAGGUGCAUGAGGAAGACUAGACUUCUGGUCAGAGAUGCUGGCUUCAAGGAGUCCAGGGAGACUGGGAAAUCCACCAUCUCUCUUCAGCAGUGGGGGCCACCUGGAGAGGGACAAAGGGAUGCUGGAGCGACGUGCAGAGGUGGGGGGAGCUGGAACUCACUCCAUCAGACCCGAAGUCAGUUGUGACCUCAGUUAUUUUUGUCUUGCUCUCAAAUUCCUGACAAGCCUCAGUGCUUGACUUCUUUAGCUGGAUGUGAGAGCUGCUUCUAAUUUUUCCAGGGGACACUGUUAAUGGCAUCCCCGGCCUUGCUCAGGUUCACAGAGCUGCAAGGGGACAAGGCUGAAGGGUCCCAGAGGAAGCAGCUUCUGUGCUGCUUAUUGUUUAGAGCCAGGAACAGAGUCACACAAUGUGUAGGGGCUCAGUGCCCCCCCACUUUUCUGGGCUUAGUGACUUUGCUCGAACAAAGGGCAGUCUCUGAAGAUCUCAGAUGCAUUUUCGUUCUCCCUGCCUCACCGCCACCAACCCAACCUUCGACCCACUUCCCUUUGGUCCGGAACAUUGGGUCCACAAAACACAGGAACAAACCCAGAGUUCUGCUCUCUCGGAAGUGGAGUGCAUGCGGGUGGCUGCCUGCCAGCCCCAACGACAUCCUGGGACACUUUCCUCCAGGCCUGGGACCUUGAGUUGUGCCUUCAGGAGGCCAGCUGGUAACUGUCUCUGUCGAGAGCAUCUUCGGGGCCACAGUGAUGGAGUCAUCCCAUCUAGCCACCCCUUCCUCAUCUGUGACCCAGGAGGCCCAGACCCAGCCCAGACAAGGGCUGCCCCCUCACUCCUGAUGCUCUGCUCCCUUGGGCGCCACUAAUGACUCAAGCCCAGCGAGUGUGUUGCAGUCAGUGAGUCUGGAGACACACAAAACUCUCCAUAUUUCUCUUGCAUUUAGUUGUGCAAGAUUUUAGGCAGAUUUUUAAUUGGCUGGACCUAAAUCUCUGCCUGAACCAUGGAAGAGACCAGUGCCCACUCCCACGGGUUGCUGGGAGCUCUUGAAAUCAAAGUCAGCACCCCCCUUCCCCUCUGCCUUGCAAACGUCCACACUGUCUUCGUCCUGGGACUGCACCCCUUGUCUUUCACUGCAUCACAGUGCCCUUGCUGGGGAAGGCCGCGGUGGGCUCCUCUGUCCAGCCCUCUCUGUCUCCCCGUCUGCCCCCACGGCUUGGCUUUUCUUCUGAGACCUUGGCAUGGCAGGUGUUUCUGGUGUCCUGUGGCCGCAGGACACGGGCCACGCUGUCAGCAACGCCACCAGCAGGUGUGAAGGAUGGACUCUCAAAGCUGCUGGCCGUGCAGUGGCCGAAGGAUCAGAGGGGUGUGCAGGGUUCUGUUCCUGGUGAGGUUUUGCCUGGGGAAGGAGUAAGCGACUGGACGCGUCGGAUAUUUGGGGAAGAUUGAAACUCGGUGUGCGUGAGGACCGCCAAGGGAUCCUCCAGCUGCAGCUGAGCUCUGCUGGCGCGCACCUGCUCCUCCUCCUCCCAGGAGCCUCGGGCUGCUCCCUCCGGAAGGCACAGGGAGAAAUAAGUGUCCUGGGAAAUGUCACCGCCUGCACCCAGCAAAAGCCCAUUUCUUUCUUCUCCUUCUCUUUUUAUUUUUUUCUUCUUGCUCUCUCACUGCCCCCAGCCCACCCCAUUCCUGUUCUCUCCUCCUGCACCUGCAAUUCCUAAACAACUCCGACGUUAUUUUGAUUUCCAGUCCCUCAGUCUUGAGUCUGUCUUUAAAGAUGAGUAGUUUUUGCUUUGCUACUGUUAUUUUUUUAGAUAAUUUAUUGUUAAAUGAAGAAUUUUAAAGCAAAAUGCAGUGGGACAGAUGUCAAAGGCAAGUUGAAAACAUAAUUUCUGUCGAGUACUAUUCUGGAUUUCCUAAGAUUAGGCACAAGAAAAGCGUCGAAUGAAAGGUACUUACUCAAGCUAAGUCUUUUUAAAAGGUCUGUGUUUGAAAGGAAAACAGCUUUUCACUAAAAAUAUAAAUCAUUCUUAUUACAUGAAAACCAUAAUUUAAGAGACUGAGAAAAAAGCUUUUUGAAUCACAAAUAAGCGGCAUCUCCCUAAUACACUUAGGAAUGUUUGUUUUUAAUCAGUGACUCUUAAAAAUCACUGCUUCCACCUGACAAACCCCUGCGAAUCACUAUGGAUUGAUGUCCUCCGAUCCACCCUGAAGUGUCCCAUUUUUCUCUACACACAUCCUUUUCUGCAACUUUCAGCAAAGCAAGAUUGGAGAAAAAGAGCAUUAGAAGGAACCUCAGCUGAUUCCCUAGUGAACAACUUAACAAAAUAAAACCUGCUUUUCCGUUUGCAUUACACAUUCACAAUCUCUCACUCUUACUAUACUGGUGUAUUUCAGAUUCUGUCCACACAUAUAAUUAUUUGCCUGAACUUAACACUGUCUUCCUGACAAAAAGGUAAAUCUCCCAAGGACAUCUCCGAACCUGGCAGUGUCCAAAGGCCACGUCCUCCCACAGAACUGCCUUGCCUGCCGUGCAACUGUUGGUGUUGCCCUGAGCGGUCCCAGGGUCUCCAUGGGGCGGAGCAAAACCUUGGGGAUUUCCCUAACAUAAUUUUAAGACUACGUUUAACACUUACGUGACCACAUUAUGAAACCCAGCAGGAAAAUCCAUUUUUGUUAAUAAAUGCCAUGUCACUUGCUCUCCCAAACACAGGAGGCAUUUUUUGCCCUGCAUGUGUGUGAGGCGACUAUGGGGUCCCAGAGCGGAAAACUUCUCUAGUAAUAAAGUAUAGAAAUUAUCCCUGAAA